GGUGGAGGUGGAGGCAGUGGUAGGAUACAAACUAUUAGGUACAAAAUAAGCUGUAAGGAUAUACUGUACAACAUGGGGAAUAUAACCAAUAUUUUAUAAUAACUAUAAAUGGAGUAUAACCUGUAAAAAUUGUGAAUCACUACACUGUA